UACGGAGGGAGCUAGCGUUGUUCGGAAUUACUGGGCGUAAAGCGCGCGUAGGCGGCUUUGUAAGUUAGAGGUGAAAGCCCGGGGCUCAACCCCGGAACUGCCUUUAAGACUGCAUCGCUUGAAUCCAGGAGAGGUGAGUGGAAUUCCGAGUGUAGAGGUGAAAUUCGUAGAUAUUCGGAAGAACACCAGUGGCGAAGGCGGCUCACUGGGCUGGUAUUGACGCUGAGGUGCGAAAGCGUGGGGAGCAAACAGG
rnacentral:rRNA from 1 species